CGAACAGCAAAAACGGCAAACGGCAAAUGGCAAAUGGCAUCGAAAGGAACAGGCUAAUAAAAAGCCAUUAAAGCGAAGUUCAGGUUUUGAAACUCCACGAAUUCGAAAACUGUGCGCUGAGAGGAAGAUUCAAGCAUAUUGAUAGCGGAGAGGGUAUACAGCUGGCUUAAGUUAUACAACAUUCUUCUAACCAGCUACUACUGCAAGGGCAGAGCACUUGCCAUGCUCAUUGCCUCCCAACUAACUCAACGGUGUACUCCUCAUCUUCUUCCUCAUCAAAAUCAUCAUCAUCAGCUGCUGCUUCUUCGUCGCCGUCGUCGUCGUCGUCGUUUUGAUCAUCUUGUGCCUUUUUUUGACUGAUUAAGAAAAGGAAAACGCAGCCAAGCGUCACAAAAUGUGGCUGAUAAAAACCAAAGGCACAUGCACAACAAAAUUUCGUGUGCAGUCAAUGAAAAGUCAGCGAAGUUAUAUAGUAACCACAACUAUUCGCAUCAAUUAUGGACUUGUCUAAAUGUUUUAAAUCACCAUUUUCAACUACAACUCAAGUGCUGAAACCGCGAAUGGAUGAAUUGGUAGUUGGCUGCGCGAAAAUUGAUCCGUACUUACCAUAAAUAUCUGUACUUACCAUAAACAUUUAAUACAUACCUGUAAACAAUGCAUGAAAUAAAGUAUUUUAUUGA
rnacentral:sRNA from 1 species